rnacentral:lncRNA from 1 species
AUGGCCCCUAGCAACGCAAGUGUGUGUACGCGGCGAAAACAGUCCACCUCUAUCUACUGUUGCGUGUGCGGAUGUCACAACAGCUACAAGAACACGGCAGGGAAACUGCCGAAGGUGCAGUUUUAUCAUUUUCCUUGGAAAUCGUACGAGGCUGAUCGGCGACAACGUUGGAUCGCUGCCGUUCGGCUCACCCGCCCCAAUGGAAAUUUGCGGCAACCAGUGCGACGCAAGACAGACAUCUGCAGUGCUCACUUUGUCGGUAACAAAGCGAGCACGAUUGCCGGCCAUCCCGCCUAUGUGCCAACUGUGUUUCCGCCGUGUUACAGAAGAAGUGAUGCAGUACUACCGGCAUCAAAGGUCGACAGAUAUUAGAGGAUUCAGCGACGUCGCGCAGUGCUUCAAGCGCCGACAUCCAAGAGCGCGAUCACGGCGACUACGGGUUCCUUUGAGAACUCCUCGACUGACUUCGCCGACGAAAUCAUUGCAUCACCGGAAGAAACGGGCACAUCCGCAUCCGUGAUGACCCAGACAGAUGCAGAUUUUAACGGAGGUGUUUGCACUCUGUUCCUCUCUGUGACAGCAGAAGGCGCCGCAUCUACAUAAGUUUGCCAUACAAACAUUGUUGAGAAAGGUGUACAAGCAAGUGCCUCUGUGAGAUCGAGAGCUAUUGGACCGAACGAGCGCAGCUGUGCAUUUCUUGGCUGCAAUUAUCUGAUCCUGAGAAAGGAUGCCUUUCGUGAACUAUGCGGCGUUAGCGCAAACGUCUUUUCUCUGUUAUUGUCUGUGCUUUGAACCAUUGCUGUGAGAGAAGUGGACGUGCCGAUUUCCCAGAAGUUGUCCAUAUUCCUGAUGAAGAUGAAGGUGGGCGUUUCAAUCGCCAGCA